UUUAGUUAUUCAUAAAAUGUGUUGAGAAUAUACGUUCAUCAUAACUAAUCGAUUGAUGCUCAAUAUUUGUAUACCCCCAAUUCAAUUUUGAGUAGUUUUGGGUGGACAAUAUACAAAUGAAAACUAAAUCUCGAUUAUUCAUGCUCUGAAUAAAAAGUUUGCUGUUGUUGGAAUUUUAUUUGAAGGGGUGUCAGAGCGGAAAAAACAAAAAGUUUUGAAACUUUUUGGUGGUAUAUCGCGGACGUUGUAAGGUGCGAACCAGUUCCGACGAAGCUCUAAGCAAGAAAAGGUACGGAAAGGUAAGGCGCAGAAUAUCCGCGUCGGUAUGGAACGGAAGAACCAGAGAAACGAGUUCGAUCUGACCGGGGAAAUUCUCGGAAUCAAUCCGUACAUUGCCACCCUGUGGAUCUUUCGGCGGAUGUGGAUCAAACGGCAUGAAUGAACUAUCAACUUCAUUUAUUUCCAGGAAAAUGCAAAAAAAAAAAUAAAAAACGGCAAGUGAACCAGAAAUUGUACUGUGCCUGUAUCACCGGUGUUGGAUUCUGGAAACGCUCCGACGGACCCAAGAAACUAUAAGUCGAUUUCUUCUCACGGCAUUUACUGUCAUUUUCGGAUAAUCAACGAUAGGUUGCAAAAUAAACUGUUCCCAAAGUUCAGCUGAACUUAUAAACCGAUACCGAUACGAUUCAGAACAGCAUUUCCAGCUACUCAUCGUGCCACUACCGAAGGAAGCUGCUUCGGUGCUUGAUUUCCAACAUUCAAUCGGCGGCUUCAUAUUCAUUCAUUCAACACUUCGCGUAUACUGCAUUCCCAUACAAACAUCCAAACUUCAUACUGCAAGCUUGACGGAAGAGUCUUUUAAUUCUGGUCAUCUCAUCGGAACUUUUUUAAAAGAUCCUCGAUUCCCCCUGGGCCCCCUCUAGGUUAGGCAACAUGUUGAUGUGGUCCGUACCGGAUGUUCAAACGAAUGUCUUACCAGUUGAACCUUGAACCAUGUUUGGUGUUACGUUUGUUGCGGAUCUAAAUGAGAAAGAACAUUCCGGCAUUAGAAUUACCGGUAUUAUGUGUAUUUGACAAUAAAUAUUUUAUAG